UACGAGGGGUGCAAACGUUGCUCGGAAUCAUUGGGCGUAAAGAGCGCGCAGGCGGUCGUUCAAGUCGAGUGUGAAAGCCCCCGGCUCAACUGGGGAGGGUCACUCGAUACUGAUCGACUCGAAGGCAGGAGAGGGAAGUGGAAUUCCCGGUGUAGUGGUGAAAUGCGUAGAUAUCGGGAGGAACACCAGUGGCGAAGGCGACUUCCUGGCCUGUUCUUGACGCUGAGGCGCGAAAGCUAGGGGAGCAAACGGG
rnacentral:rRNA from 1 species